rnacentral:tRNA from 1 species
GUUAAGAAAGCCAAAAAGAGGCGUUGGUCUUGUAAACCAAAAAAUGAUUAUCAAUCUUUUAACU